rnacentral:lncRNA from 1 species
AUGAUACUUUAUAUAUGCUCAAACUUUAAUUUAUUGUAAUUUUUGCCUUGAACUUCAUGCAUUGUUGCAAUCAAACACCACAACACAAUUAGGUUGACUGAAUAUUAACGAAAUGUUAAUGUAAAAGCAAUGUGAUAUCUUAAUUAUUGCUGCAUCAUUAAUCACAACUUCCGCAUGACUGUAGGACUGACUGCAAUAAUCCUAAAAAUUUGAGUUAAAAAU